rnacentral:rRNA from 1 species
GAUGAACGCUGGCGGCGUGCUUAACACAUGCAAGUCGAACGGUGAAGCAGGAGCUUGCUCUUGUGGAUCAGUGGCGAACGGGUGAGUAACACGUGAGCAACCUGCCCCUGACUCUGGGAUAAGCGCUGGAAACGGCGUCUAAUACUGGAUAUGUGAUGUGACCGCAUGGUCUGCAUCUGGAAAGAAUUUCGGUUGGGGAUGGGCUCGCGGCCUAUCAGCUUGUUGGUGAGGUAAUGGCUCACCAAGGCGUCGACGGGUAGCCGGCCUGAGAGGGUGACCGGCCACACUGGGACUGAGACACGGCCCAGACUCCUACGGGAGGCAGCAGUGGGGAAUAUUGCACAAUGGGCGGAAGUCUGAUGCAGCAACGCCGCGUGAGGGAUGACGGCCUUCGGGUUGUAAACUUCUUUUAGCAGGGAAGAAGCGAAAGUAACGGUACCUGCAGAAAAAGCACCGGCUAACUACGUGCCAGCCGCCGCCGUAA